rnacentral:tRNA from 1 species
GGCUUCGUAGCUCAGCCUGGUUAGAGCACCAGACUCUUAAUCUGGGUGUCGAGGGUUCAAAUCCCUUCGAGGCCA